CCACAAUCCUCCAAUUCUGAAUUUUCGGUCCAGAAAAAGCAUUUGAGGUUAAUUCAUGGUUCUUUUGGCAAUAAUUUGUGAACAGUUUCGCCAAAUUUCUUAAUCAAUUGGGCUUUAUGGGUGAAGGAUUUAUGGUAUUCCCCUCUGUUAUGGAUGUAAAGUUGUAAACAAAAUUCGCUACAUCUCAAUAUUGAAGGUGACAUUCAAUUGGAUUUUUUUUUAUAAAAUGGUAACUGCUUAAUUGAGGAUGAAGGUCGAGGGAUUCGUUAAAUUUCAUUCACUGAGUCUCGCUUUAAUCAAGGUAUGUUUCUCUGAUCAAAUUUGCAGUUUUAGUUAUUUUUCAAUUAAGAUUUUUCAAUCCCAUCAAAUUUCAAUUACAUCUCAUAUCUUCAUAAUAAAAUCUCUAUCACUUUCCCCUUCACUAACCCUUCAAAUUCCUUUC